GCUCCCGUAGCUCAGUUGUAUAGAGCGUCCGCCUCCUAAGCGGAAGGUCGCGCGUUAGAGUCGCGCCGGGAGCACCA
rnacentral:tRNA from 1 species